rnacentral:lncRNA from 1 species
UAAAAAUGAUCAUUAUACAGUGAUACUUUAAAAGAACAUUGAACAUUCACUAUAGGUUCCAUACUACCAUUUAAAGAAUAAAAUAAGAUUCGUCUUGCAUCAAGGCAUUUCAAUAUCAUGAACACACCAAUUGAAAUGUGAACAUGCAUGCAAAUAUAUGGUUUACAUCAAAGCCUAUCAAUGCAACUGCACUCUCAACCAAGGUAGACAGACAAGGAAUGGUGAUGAAAAGGUAACUGGAGUUACGACAACAAUCGGUGGCUUCGAUUGUCCAGCCAAUAAAUUCCAUCAGAUUGAGAGGAGCAGCGAUUUCAUAGAGAGGAUGCAUGUCGGUCCAACCUAGAAAUGUGUUUCUAUAUUAGAAAAAAACUCGAACGCAAAAGGCAACAUAAAAAUGGAUAGUAGUAACAAAUAUAAUCCUAUUAACAAGUUUAUCCAAUAAAAUGCAUCAAGCUCAACAAACUGCAUAAAAAAAAAUUAGAUCAACAAUUAAAAAACACAUGUACCAAACUUAUGUGUACUAAAUGAACGUUGGCAAACUAAACUAAUAUAAUAUUACCUCAAGCGAUAAAACAACUAAACCUCCCUAUGUCCUUCAUAAUUCCAAGAAGUCAUGGAAUAAAGAACAACAUAGGGAGGUUUAGUUGUUUUCUACCUAAGCUUCUAUUACUAGAAUUUCUUGAGAGUCUAACGACAACAUCCUAUUAGGUGGGUCCAGUGCAAGUAAAGAUAAUACUUUUGAGACUUCCAAAGAGAACACCAAGCUCUUGUAAACAGAGAAACUUAGAGCUAUGCUAUGCCCAACACCCUGUACCAUACAAAAUAAGUAGUAAAAUAAAGCAGGGAUCAACAUAAUGAAACAAAGCAGAGGAAGUAAAUAUGCAUCAUGAACACACCAACUAUGUUGCACCAAAGCUCUUAUACAUUCCAAAGAAGUCUUCUCUACAUAUGGUACUAAAAGCAUGUGAGCUAUCCCUGUCAUAAAUGACAUUUCUCUGCAUUGAAAUUUGAAACAUAGAAUAAUUGUCUCAACUCUUUGUAAAAAUAAACUCAAACAGAAGAGAUGUUACAAAUUUGACGAUACUAAAUGUGUUAGUUGGAUGACUACACCAAAAUAAUUGGUGACAUUCCCCACAAUGUACACACUGAUCCCCAAAACAUGAGAAUUUGAUCCCUCACCAAAUCUUUAUCGCUCUGCAAUAUCUUUUGUUGGGUAUCUACAUUAACCAAUAGAUAAGCAAACAAUCAGUAGAAGAAGGUAGUGGUAUUCAUUAUCCCCUUAAAUUAAAUUAACCCGAUGUCGCUUCCCACAUUCAUCCACUUAACUCUCCAAUAAUAAAAACAUUGCAUGAAAUGAGUUGAGCAGAAAACCUAACUCUCCAAAUUCAAUCAAUAUGACAAAAUUUGACACACUCAUCCAAUAACUUCUCCAAAAACAUUUUCUCAUAAUUCUGAAUACAGCCGACACAAAGUAUAACAACCCUACCGCUUAAAUGUAUGAAUACCAACAUAACAUCAUGCAAUAUUAAAUCUUUCUAGUCAAAUAUGGACUGCGGUUAUGCAUAAAACUAAGACCAUAAAGCAACAUAACAUUAAACAAAUCCUAAUUGCAUCAUAUCUAACAAUAACACAACUAAUCCGAGGUUUUCUCAACCACUACCAAUCCCCACAAAAAUCAUAUAACUAACAAAAUCCAAAAACAUUGAUAUGAUAUGAGCAAACAAUCAAAAAACAACAAUCAACAAAAAUCAUAUAAAUCCCUUUUCUAUUUCAAUUAAGUUUCUAAAUAAACCAGAAACCUAAGCUUCAAAAAACAACAAAAUUUAGAGAGAAAUAGAAGUUUUACCUUCGUUCUUGAUGAUGGAAAUGAAUAAAACGUCGAAAACAAAGAACAAGGGUAGUUUUGAGCGAACCGUCACAGUUCUGAUUAAUGGGGUUUUAGGGUUUGUUUAAAUGGAUUGGGAUUUUGGGUUUGAAGAAAUGGGUUUACGGAAGGAUAAAAUUGGAAGAAGAUUUGUAUGGAAGUUGAAGAGAAUGUUCCGAAGAAACCAUGAUAU